AGAGGUGAACAUUUUAUGGCCUGAGGAUGAGCUCGCGUCUGAUUAGCUAGUUGGUGGGGUAAGGGCCUACCAAGGCGACGAUCAGUAGCUGGUCUGAGAGGAUGAUCAGCCACACUGGGACUGAGACACGGCCCAGACUCCUACGGGAGGCAGCAGUGGGGAAUUUUCCGCAAUGGGCGCAAGCCUGACGGAGCAAGACCGCGUGCGGGAGGACGGCCUAUUGGUUGUAAACCGCUUUUGAUAGGGAAGAAGUUCUGACGGUACCUAUCGAAUCAGCAUCGGCUAACUCCGUGCCAGCAGCCGCGGUAAUACGGAGGAUGCAAGCGUUAUCCGGAAUUAUUGGGCGUAAAGCGUCCGUAGGUGGUUGUUCAAGUCUGCUGUUAAAGCGUGCGGCUUAACCGCAUACCAGCAGUGGAAACUGGGCGACUAGAGUGCGGUAGGGGUCAGGGGAAUUCCCAGUGUAGCGGUGAAAUGCGUAGAUAUUGGGAAGAACACCGGUGGCGAAAGCGCCUGACUGGACCUGCACUGACACUGAGGGACGAAAGCUAGGGGAGCGAAAGGGAUUAGAUACCCCUGUAGUC
rnacentral:rRNA from 1 species